GAUGAACGCUGACAGAAUGCUUAACACAUGCAAGUCAACUUGAACUUCGGUUUGGGUGGCGGACGGGUGAGUAACGCGUACAGAACUUGCCUCACAGUUAGGGACAACAUUUGGAAACGAAUGCUAAUACCUGAUAUUAUGAUUUUAGGGCAUCCUAGAAUUAUGAAAGCUAUAUGCGCUGUGAGAGAGCUUUGCGUCCCAUUAGCUAGUUGGAGAGGUAACGGCUCACCAAGGCGAUGAUGGGUAGCCGGCCUGAGAGGGUGAACGGCCACAAGGGGACUGAGACACGGCCCUUACUCCUACGGGAGGCAGCAGUGGGGAAUAUUGGACAAUGGACCAAGAGUCUGAUCCAGCAAUUCUGUGUGCACGAUGAAGUUUUUCGGAAUGUAAAGUGCUUUCAGUUGGGAAGAAAAAAAAUGACGAUACCAACAGAAGAAGUGACGGCUAAAUACGUG
rnacentral:rRNA from 1 species